CUUGCCCUAUAUAAGAGGUCCAGCCUGCCCAGUGACAUUGUUCAACGGCCGCGGUAUCCUAACCGUGCGAAGGUAGCGUAAUCACUUGUUCUUUAAAUGAGGACUAGUAUGAAAGGCAUCACGAGAGUCAUACUGUCUCCUUUAUCUAAUCAGUGAAACUAAUUUUCCCGUGAAGAAGCGGGAAUAAAAUUAUAAGACGAGAAGACCCUAUGGAGCUUGAAACAAAUAACACUUGCCUGUCUAACCUAAAAAUUCCAGAAAAAUUUCUCUACUCUGGCAUCAUGGUUAUUAGUUUUCGGUUGGGGUGACCACGGAACAAAAAAUAACUUCCGCAAUGAAAGACACUCUAUUUCUAAGUUAAGGACUACAGCCCUACACAUCAACAAAUUGACACCAAUUGACCCAACAUGUUGAUCAAUGAAC
rnacentral:rRNA from 1 species